AUCAACGGGUGCGCUUAAGGAACUUACCUGCGGUACUGCGGUGGAAUUGGAUAUUGCUGAUAAAACCGGAUACGGUCAUUAAGCUGCCUUCUUGAUGAUGAAAGGAGACCCCUGCUGAUAGCCUUGCGUCCUAUUACCUAGGUGUAUGGUUAACGGCCCGCCAAGGCGAAGAUAGGUAGCCGGCCUGAGAGGGUGGACGGCCACAAGGGGACUGAGAUCUGGUCGUUACUCCUACGGGAGGACUCCUUGGGGAAUAUGGGACAAUGGGGGCAUCCCUGAUCCGGCAAUUCUGUGUGCACGAAGACGGUUUUCGGAUUGGAAAAUGCUUUCCGCACGUAAAAAGUCUUGACGAGGCCUGCAAAGUGUGAACGUAUAAAUACCUGCCUGCAACCGCGGCUAUACGGUGGGCGAGCGUUAUCCCGAAUUAUUGGGCAUUAAGGGCAUCUCGGCGGUCUUUCAAGUCAGGGGUGAUUGCCUGCAGCUCAAGCGCAUGCCUGCCUUUGAAACUGAUAGCCUGGACUCCGGAUAGGUGGAGUUACUGCACUAUUACUUGUGAAAUUCAUGGAUAUGUGGAGGAAUGUCGAUAUCUAGAUAAUUCAUUGACCUAUGAAUGACGCUCAUUGCUAAAGCCGCUGGAUGGACUGGACUGAAUCUCAGGCUCUACACGCGUCGUAAC
rnacentral:rRNA from 1 species